rnacentral:rRNA from 1 species
UACAGAGGGUGCGAACGUUGCUCGGAAUUACUGGGCGUAAAGCGCGUGUAGGCGGGGUUCGCAAGUCAGACGUUGAAAUCCCCGGGCUCAACUCGGGAACUGCGUCUGAAACUGCGAGCCUUGAGUACCGGAGAGGGUGGCGGAAUUCCUGGUGUAGAGGUGAAAUUCGUAGAUAUCAGGAGGAACACCGGUGGCGAAGGCGGCCAUCUGGACGACAACUGACGCUGAGAUGCGAAAAGCGUGGGGAGCAAACAGG